rnacentral:tRNA from 1 species
GCGUCGAUAGUAGAAUGCUCGUCUGCCACGUGGGCGGCUCGGGUUCGAUUCCCGGCCGACGCA